GCUGUCUGCUUGGAUCUCACCUCUGGUGCAGUCUGCCUUUCCAGACAAGUUUUUUGGUCGCCAGCCGGCUCUCCCAUCGCCCGUGAAGGAUAUAGACAGACGUGUGGCGGGAGGAGCUCUGCACGUCGGUUCACUAGCCUUUCUCUAUUUCAAGGUUGAUUUUUUUGCCUCCUCGGGUGGGAAUAUUUUUAAGAAAGUGUUGAGAAGUAGCCCCUCCGUCGUGCCUUCAGAGUCUAUUGUAGGUGCCGCCCCCUCCACUCAGCCAGCUUAUGGGAGAGGCAGCCGUCCUGCCCCACCUGGCAGAGGAGGACCCACAGCCCCUCCGGUGCUGCCCUUGGGGAAGAGGAAUGAUCAGCGCCGAGUGAGACCCGCUGGAGACCUCGGAUUGGAAACUAGGAACAGACUCUGCUGUCCUGGGAGGAAAGCGAAAAGUGAAGUCGUUCAGUCGUGUCCGACUCUUUGCAACCCCAUGGAUGGUAGCCCGCCAGGCUCCUCUGUCCAUGGGAUUCUCCAGGCAAGAAUACUGGAGUGGGUUGCCAUCCCCCUCUCUAGGGUAUCUUCCCGACCCAGGGAUCGAACCCUGGUCUCCUGCAUUGUAGGCAGAUGCUUUUACUGUCUGAGCCACCAGGGAAGUAGCUCUUUAAAAAAUUAUCCCCCCGAUUGUGUCC
ensembl:lncRNA